rnacentral:ncRNA from 2 species
GUGGUGACGGCGGGAGGGGAGAAUCUGGGAAGCCCGGUGAGAUUCCGGCACAGGCCCGCUGCGGUGAACCGAGCCUCCGUGAGGAGGACCCGGCAAGUCCGAAGACCGGCCUC